GAUGAACGCUGGCGGCGUGCCUAAUACAUGCAAGUCGAGCGAACGGACGAGAAGCUUGCUUCUCUGAUGUUAGCGGCGGACGGGUGAGUAACACGUGGAUAACCUACCUAUAAGACUGGGAUAACUUCGGGAAACCGGAACUAAUACCGGAUGAUAUUUUGAACCGCAUGGUUCAAAAGUGAAAGACGGUUUUGCUGUCACUUAUAGAUGGAUCCGCGCUGCAUUAGCUAGUUGGUAAGGUAACGGCUUACCAAGGCAACGAUGCAUAGCCGACCUGAGAGGGUGAUCGGCCACACUGGAACUGAGACACGGUCCAGACUCCUACGGGAGGCAGCAGUAGGGAAUCUUCCGCAAUGGGCGAAAGCCUGACGGAGCAACGCCGCGUGAGUGAUGAAGGUCUUCGGAUCGUAAAACUCUGUUAUUAGGGAAGAACAUAUGUGUAAGUAACUGUGCACAUCUUGACGGUACCUAAUCAGAAAGCCACGGCUAACUACGUG
rnacentral:rRNA from 1 species